rnacentral:rRNA from 1 species
GAUGAACGCUGGCGGCGUGCCUAAUACAUGCAAGUCGAGCGAACGGACGAGAAGCUUGCUUCUCUGAUGUUAGCGGCGGACGGGUGAGUAACACGUGGAUAACCUACCUAUAAGACUGGGAUAACUUCGGGAAACCGGAGCUAAUACCGGAUAAUAUUUUGAACCGCAUGGUUCAAAAGUGAAAGACGGUCUUGCUGUCACUUAUAGAUGGAUCCGCGCUGCAUUAGCUAGUUGGUAAGGUAACGGCUUACCAAGGCAACGAUGCAUAGCCGACCUGAGAGAGUGAUCGGCCACACUGGAACUGAGACACGGUCCAGACUCCUACGGGAGGCAGCAGUAGGGAAUCGUCCGCAAUGGGCGAAAGCCUGACGGAGCAACGCCGCGUGAGUUAUGAAGGUCUUCGGAUCGUAAAACUCUGUUAUUAGGGAAGAACAUAUGUGUAAGUAACUGUGCACAUCUUGACGGUACCUAAUCAGAAAGCCACGGCUAACUACGUG